UUGACUAUAAUACACAAAAUUAUAAGUAAAUAAACAUGGCACCCCGAAUUACAAGCAAUUUCAAUCGAUAUAUUGGCACCACUGAUUUUUGUUUUAGAUUUUAUGACGAAACAUUUGGCUACACUGAAUGUAUAUAUAAUACCGACACAAGAUAUAGAUCAAAUACUGAGACGUAGCCAUAAUGGUUUCAGUCCAUCAGAAUGCGCUUGCGCUUAUUUACUUUUGGGAACGGUAAUGGCGAUGACUAUUUUUGACGCCAUUGUUUCAAAAACUUUUGUGAUCUGUGAAAGACAUCUCAAUAAUUUAUAGACGUAUUUAUUUCCUUAUCCACUCUAGUGCCCUAGGUCCGAGAAAAUGUUAGGUUAGGUGAAGUUGCCCUAAGUAGUCUAGGUCAGGUUGUCCUAGGUCCAAGAAAAUGUUAGGUGAAGUUGCCCUAAAGUUUUAUUUUUAAUAAUACAUAGAAACAAAUUUGAUAAUGUGGGUAUUUUCAUAUCCACUGGUCCAGGUCAAGUGGCGGUGUUUGUUUUUUAAUACUUAAAAACAAUUUGGUGAUAUGGGUAUUUUCACAUCCACUCAAAACUACUAUUUUGGGCUAAAGAAAGGAACGUGUGCAGCUUCACAAUGAAAACCGCAUUUAAAAUGAACAAGAAACACUCAACAACACAUAUCAGAAAGGUACAGUUAGGUAAAAUCGGCUACAUCUCGCGGUGCUAGCCUUGAUCGUCAGAUGGCGGCCGUUUGUUCAAUUAGAAAACAAAUAGUAGUCAUUAGUGUUUUGCGUCAACAGACUCGCUAAGUUACGCAGUUAAUCACUCAUUUCAUUCAAUCAAAAUAAGUAAUGGAAUAACUACAAUACAAAUUUAUGCUUACGUAAGCAAACAUGGUGAAUUGAACAAAUUUAUAAUCAGCGUUAGUACUUACAUACAGGGGGACCAAGUCAUAUGAGAAAUUUGUUGUAAACCCACUGCGGUGGCGUUCCUUAGUACAUUGGAAAGCACAUAGCGCGGCGCAAAUAUAAUAGCGCCAAAUUAUUUGAAAUUUCAAAAAAUAAACAACUUUCGCAUACAUUUUGCCUAUAUUUACUUUAUCCUUUCAAAUAGUUUUUAUUGCUUUAACGUUUUCGCACUAUUUGAAUUUGGAA